CACGUAGGGGGCAAGCGUUGUCCGGAUUUAUUGGGCGUAAAGAGCUCGUAGGGGGUUAGGUAAGUCGGGUGUUAAACCCCCAGGCUCAACCUGGGGACGCCACUCGAUACUGCUGUGACUAGAGUCCGGUAGGGGAGCGUGGAAUUCCUGGUGUAGCGGUGAAAUGCGCAGAUAUCAGGAGGAACACCAGCGGCGAAGGCGGCGCUCUGGGCCGGUACUGACACUGAGGAGCGAAAGCGUGGGUAGCAAACAGG
rnacentral:rRNA from 1 species